rnacentral:rRNA from 1 species
GCAUAUCCAAUAAGCGGAGGAAAAGAAACUAACAAGGAUUCCCCCUAGUAGCGGCGAAGCGAAGCGGGAAAAGCUUCAAAUUUGUAAUCUGGCGUCUUCGACGUCCGAGUUGUAAUCUCGAGAAGUGUUUUCCGUGAUAGACCGCAUACAAGUCUCUUGGAACAGAGCGUCAUAGUGGUGAGAACCCAGUACACGAUGCGGAUGCCUAUUACUUUGUGAUACACUUUCGAAGAGUCGAGUUGUUUGGGAAUGCAGCUCAAAUUGGGUGGUAAAUUCCAUCUAAAGCUAAAUAUUGGCGAGAGACCGAUAGCGAACAAGUACCGUGAGGGAAAGAUGAAAAGCACUUUGGAAAGAGAGUUAACAGUACGUGAAAUUGUUGGAAGGGAAACACAUGCAGUGAUACUUGCUAUUCGGGGCAACUCGAUUGGCAGGCCCGCAUCAGUUUUUCGGGGCGGAAAAGCAUGGAUUGAAGGUAGCAGUUUCGGCUGUGUUAUAGCUUUCCAUUGGAUUCGCCCUGGGGGACUGAGGAACGCAGCGUGCUUUUAGCAUGAGCUUCGGCUUAUCCACGCUUAGGAUGCGGGUUUAUGGCUGUAUAUGACCCGUCUUGAAACACGGACCAAGGAGUCUAACAUGCUUGCGAGUAUUUGGGUGUCAAACCCGGAUGCGCAAUGAAAGUGAAUGGAGGUGGGAAGCGCAAGCUGCACCAUCGACCGAUCUGGAUUUUUUAAGAUGGAUUUGAGUAAGAGCAAGUAUGUUGGGACCCGAAAGAUGGUGAACUAUGCCUGAAUAGGGCGAAGCCAGAGGAAAACUCUGGUGGAGGCUCGUAGCGGUUUCUGACGUGCAAAUCGAUUCGUCAAAUUUGGGUAUAGGGGGCGAAAGACUAAUCGAACCAUCUAGUAGCUGGUUCCUGCCGA